GAUGAACGCUAGCUACAGGCUUAACACAUGCAAGUCGCGGGGCAGCAUGGGGGUUGCUUGCAACCCCUGAUGGCGACCGGCGCACGGGUGAGUAACGCGUAUCCAACCUGCCCUUCACCACGGGAUAACCCGGCGAAAGUCGGACUAAUACCGUAUGUUGUCCAUUGACGGCAUCCGAUUCGGACGAAAGGCUUGGCGGCGUAAGGAUGGGGAUGCGUCCGAUUAGCUUGACGGCGGGGUAACGGCCCACCGUGGCUACGACCGGUAGGGGUUCUGAGAGGAAGGUACCCCGCAAUGGAGCUAAGACACGGACCAGACUCCUACGGGAGGCAGCAGUGUGGAAUAUUGGUCAAUGAGCGUAGGCCUGAACCAGCCGAGUAGCGUGCAGGAUGACGGCCCUAUGGGUUGUAAACUGCUUGUAUGCGGGGAUAAAGUGGCCCACGUGUGGGCUUUUGCAGGUACCGCAUGAAUAAGGACCGGCUAAUUCCGUG
rnacentral:rRNA from 1 species